CUGAGAAGCAGGUGCACUUCAUAUGUGAGGCUCUGAGCGAUCAAGGCACGACUUCUAAAGAUCAAGACACAACAGACAGAAAAAAAAACAACGUUCUCUGGAGCUUUUUGGAUCUAUUUUAAAAUCAGACCUAUCAACUGGCAAGGAUGUCCUUAGUUGGAAACUUCCUGACUGACGAGCAGUUCCUGUGCUCAAUCUGCCUCGAUGUGUUCACCAACCCUUCGUCCACACCGUGUGGCCACAGUUUCUGCAUGGCCUGCAUCAACAGAUACUGGGAUGGAUCUAAGGUUUGUCAGUGUCCUCUGUGUAAGAAGACCUUCCAGAAGCGACCAGAACUCCAGAUCAACAGGACACUGCGAGAGAUUACUGAUCAGUUCAGAUCUAUGACCGGAGGAGGAGUGGGGAGGGACAAGAGAGGGG